GAUGAACGCUGGCGGCGUGCCUAAUACAUGCAAGUCGAGCGAACGGACGAGAAGCUUGCUUCUCUGAUGUUAGCGGCGGACGGGUGAGUAACACGUGGAUAACCUACCUAUAAGACUGGGAUAACUUCGGGAAACCGGAGCUAAUACCGGAUGAUAUUUUGAACCGCAUUGUUCAAAAGUGAAAGACGGUCUUGCUGUCACUUAUAGAUGGAUCCGCGCUGCAUUAGCUAGUUGGUAAGGUAACGGCUUACCAAGGCAACGAUGCAUAGCCGACCUGAGAGGGUGAUCGGCCACACUGGAACUGAGACACGGUCCAGACUCCUACGGGAGGCAGCAGUAGGGAAUCUUACGCAAUGGGCGAAAGCCUGACGGAGCAACGCCGCGUGAGUGAUGAAGGUCUUCGGAUCGUAAAACUCUGUUAUUAGGGAAGAACAUAUGUGUAAGUAACUGUGCACAUCUUGACGGUACCUAAUCAGAAAGCCACGGCUAACUACGUG
rnacentral:rRNA from 1 species